rnacentral:lncRNA from 1 species
GCAACUCGGCGCGGGGGGAGCCCGGACGCCGGGCGUGGGGGCGGGGAGCAGGCGGCGCAGGAGAGCACCCUGAGUCCCCGCGCCGGAGGAGGAGCGGGAGCAAGCCGGGGAGACGGCGCUCCUGGCCGCACCUGCACCCGGCGGGCGGCCGGCCCUGCCCCGCCCCGCUCCUGCUCGCGGCUCCGGCCCGCACCGGGACACAUGGAAGCCACACGCCCACUAGCCUUGGAUCAGCUGAGCCCUGGGGCUGAUGCUUGCCCACACUGCUGAGAAUGGCGCUGAGAGCCAGCCAGGCACCAGGACUAAGGUUAACCUGGGACGCUCCUGGACCGUAAUCCUGAUGUCUGUUCUGAACCACACGCUCAAGGGUGUGUUAAGGCAGACAGUCCCACUGUGGAAUCGGGGACCAGCAGGCAGAGAGCUCCCUGGAAGGCCGGGCAGGAAGAGCUGGUGCUUUUGACUAGACAAACUUUUAGGAGCUGCUGGGCUGGUCCACAGGAGCCCAGAGCCUUACAUUCCAGGUGGGAGUUGGCAGGGAGAAAAAAGGGUAACCAGGUAUUUCUCAGCUUUAGGGACAUCUUGACUCUAUUGCCAGAUGAGAGUGUAAAACUCAGGGCUAGAAUCUACUUUUCACUCAGCCUGGACUUGCAAAAUCAGUCUGCAACUGGAUGGUCUUUCAGGAAGUGUGUCCUUGGGUUGAUAUGUAGCUGGGGCAGUGUGAUCGAGCCUGGACCGUGGGAGGGGGGUGGGGGUGGAGAGAUGGCCAUGGAAGCCACUGUGGGAACGCAGUGACUCAGACGGGAGAGCUGUUCCCCACAUAACACAGAAUUCUCCAGAGCAAUCUACGUCAUUAACCUUAAAACUGUUGUACCCUUGCUUCCAGUCAUCCGACUUCUGGAAUUAUUCAUUAAGAAACGGUUCAUUAGAAAAUAGUCCCAGAAAACAAAAGGGCCAAAUUCUUUUGUUACAGGCAUAAAAAUAUGUUUCUUGUGGUGUCAUUGUAGUAGUGGAAACGGGAAAUAAUUUUUCUCCCUUUGGUGAGCAUCUAGGUUAAGUAAAUUAUAGUUUUCCACUUUGUGGAAUAUUACACAGCCAUUAUAAUAAUGAGAAAUAGGCAAUACAACAACUUGGAAAAAGGAUUAUGAUACAAUAAGUGAAAGUGUCAGGUUAUAGAAUAAGUACAUUAUGGUAACUUGUAAAAUAAACAUAUAAGAAAAGAUUGCA